CUCUGAGAAAUAUGAUAGAUCUGAGCCUUAAUUGCCAUCUUCUUUGAAUCAAACCCAUCACUUCCUCUUCAGAUUUCUCUCCAAGCUGAAUUGUGGGUGGCAUCUCUUCCUCGAAAUCUGUGGUGGCAACCAUGAUCAGCUGAACCAGAAAUCUCCGAGACAACAUAGUAGAAAGUAAAAUAUGUUGUCAGAGAGAGGUGUGAUUGAAUCUUUCAGUAUUUUCCAUAGAUCUACAGCCAUACUUUACUUGGAGAAGAUGAAGAGGAGGAGACUACAAUAGCUUCCUUCCACAACUGUAUGAAAUUGAAAAUUAAUCAACAGAAAAAUUUUAACACCUU
rnacentral:lncRNA from 1 species